UACGAAGGGGGCUAGCGUUGUUCGGAAUUACUGGGCGUAAAGCGCGCGCAGGCGGUCUUCCAAGUCAGUGGUGAAAGCCCGGAGCUCAACUCCGGAACUGCCAUUGAAACUGUAAGACUUGAGGAUGAGAGAGGUGAGUGGAAUUCCCAGUGUAGAGGUGAAAUUCGUAGAUAUUGGGAAGAACACCGGUGGCGAAGGCGGCUACACUGGCUCGAUUACUGACGCUCAGGCGCGACAGCGUGGGGAUCAAACAGG
rnacentral:rRNA from 1 species